GACGAACGCUGGCGGCGGGCUUAACACAUGCAAGUCGAACGGAGUGGCGAACGGGUGAGUAACGCGUGAUCAACCUGCCCUUCAGGGGGGACCACCAGUUGGAAAGGACUGCUAAUACCGCAUACGGAAGGCGGGGAUUGCGUCUGAUUAGCUAGUGGGUGGGGUAACGGCCCACCAAGGCGAGGAUCAGUAGCGGGUCUGAGAGGAUGAACAGCCACAUUGGAACUGAGACACGGUCCAGACUCCUACGGGAGGCAGCAGUGGGGAAUAUUGGACAAUGGGCGAAAGCCUGAUGCAGCCAUGCCGCGUGUGUGAAGAAGGUCUUCGGGUUGUAAAGCACUUUAAGUUUGGAGGCGUUACCAGCAGAAUAAGCACCGGCUAACUUCGUGCCAGCAGCCGCGGUAAUAC
rnacentral:rRNA from 1 species